AAGACUACACUUUCAGGGAUCAUUUCUAUAGUUCAUUCCUAGAGAAAUUUCUCUGAACAUGUAGAGCAUGAAAAACUAAUUAUGGAAAGGGAAGACCAUUACCAGCCAGU
rfam:Pan troglodytes isolate Yerkes chimp pedigree #C0471 (Clint) chromosome 5, whole genome shotgun sequence.